rnacentral:rRNA from 1 species
UACAGAGGUCUCAAGCGUUGUUCGGAUUCAUUGGGCGUAAAGGGUGCGUAGGCGGUGCGGUAAGUCGGGUGUGAAAUCUUGGAGCUUAACUCCGAAACUGCAUUCGAUACUGCCGUGCUUGAGGACUGGAGAGGAGACUGGAAUUUACGGUGUAGCGGUGAAAUGCGUAGAUAUCGUAAGGAAGACCAGUGGCGAAGGCGGGUCUCUGGACGGUUCCUGACGCUGAGGCACGAAGGCCAGGGGAGCAAACGGG